GAUGAACGCUAGCGGCAGGCUUAACACAUGCAAGUCGAGGGGUAGUGGUAGCAAUACCAUGAGACCGGCAAACGGGUGCGGAACACGUACACAAUCUACCUUUAUCUGGGGCGAUAGCCCGAAGAAAUUCGGAUUAAUACCCCACUAAAAUAAACAAAGUAGGCAUCACUUAAUUAUUAAAUACUCCGGAGGAUAGAGAUGAGUGUGCGUCCCACUUAGCUAGUUGGUAGGGUAACGGCCUACCAAGGCGACGAUGGUAGCUGGUGUGAGAGCACGACCAGCCACACGGGCGACUGAGACACGGGCCCGGACCUCCUACCGGGAGGCAGCAGUGAGGAAGUAAUUGGUUCGAAUAGGA
rnacentral:rRNA from 1 species